UGUUAAUGCUGUGCUGGGCACUGAACUC
rnacentral:piRNA from 1 species